rnacentral:rRNA from 1 species
UACAUGUGGGGCAAGCGUUGUUCGGAAUUACUGGGCAUAAAGGGUGCGUAGGCGGCUUGUUAAGUCAGGGGUGAAAGUUUUCGGCCCAACCGGAAAAUUGCCUUUGAUACUGGCGAGCUGGAGUGCGUGAGGGGUGACCGGAACGAGUGGUGUAGCGGUGAAAUGCGUAGAUAUCAUUUGGAACGCCAAGGGCGAAAGCAGGCAGCUGGGGUUGUGCCGACGCUGAGACACGAAAGCCAGGGGAGCGAACGGG